GUAGCUUUACAUGUUGGAAAGAGCCCACGAUAGAAUAAACAGGAAAGGUAGUGAGAGGAGACAGUUGUACAGAGACUGCCAGCCCUGAUUCAGGUCGGGCAUGUCUGUGUCUGAACAACCUCUACCCAGAGGCCAGAGCAGCCAAGCAAGAUUGUGCUCGUUUGCUUGUUUGAAGGCUAGAAAUGGGGUAGUAAAUCCUGCUCCAGGUAGCCCAGCUCAAAAAGAAGUUAUUUUCCAAAGCCGUCCGUGCCUUAGGUGCACACACUAUUUUAAUGAUAUUUCAGGAUUCCUGUCUUCAUCAACAAAUACGAGGUGAGGCAGAAUGAAGGU
rnacentral:lncRNA from 1 species